rnacentral:rRNA from 1 species
GGGUAUCCUGAGUAUGGCGGAGCAGGUGAAACUCUGUCUGAAUUUGCCGGCACCAUCCGGUAAGGCUAAAUACUCACGAGAGACCGAUAGCGAACAAGUACCGUAAGGGAAAGGUGAAAAGAACCCCAAGCAGGGGAGUGAAAAGAACCUGAAACCGUGCGCUUACAAGCGGUCGGAGCAAUUUUCGGAUUGUGACGGCGUGCCUUUUGCAUAAUGAGCCUACGAGUUACUCUUCUAUAGCGAGCCUAAUACGUUCAGCGUAGGAUGCGAAGCGAAAGCGAGUCUUAACAGGGCGAAAUAGUUAUAGGAGGUAGACGCGAAACCGAGUGAUCUACCCAUGGGCAGGUUGAAGUUGCGAUAGUCUCGCGAUGGAGGACCGAACCAGUACAUGUUGAAAAAUGUUUGGAUGACCUGUGGGUAGGGGUGAAAGGCCAAUCAAACUCGGAGAUAUCUCGUACUCCCCGAAAUGCAUUUAGGUGCAGCGUUAAAAUAGAUUGUCUUGGAGGUAGAGCUACCAAUAGGGCUAGGGGGCUUCACCGCCUACCAACCCCUGAUGAACUCCGAAUGCCGGGACAAGUUUUUUAGCAGUGAGGCUAUGGGUGCUAAGGUCCAUAGCCGAGAGGGAAAGAACCCGGACCAACAGCUAAGGUCCCUAAAUAUGAACUAAGUUGAAAGAACGAUGUGGGAAUGCAAUGACAGCUAGGAUGUUGGCUUGGAAGCAGCCAUUCAUUUAAAGAGUGCGUAACAGCUCACUAGUCGAGGGUUCCUGCGCGGAAGAUGAUCGGGCAUAAAGUUCAUUACCGAAGCUUUGGUCUUCAGACGUAAGUUUGGAGAGGUAGGGGAGCAUUCUCAGGUUGGUGAAUGUGUGCUGUGAGGCAUGCUGGAGAGCUGAGAAAAGAAAAUGUAGGCAUAAGUAACGAUAAAUCUGAUGAGAAAUCAGAUCGCCGAAAGACUAAGGUUUCCUGGAUCUAUGUUAAUCAGAACAGGGUUAGUCGAGACCUAAGACGCAGCCGCGAGGUGAAGUCGAUGGAAAACUGGUUAAUAUUCCAGUACCUUUAUAUACUGCGAUGGAGUGACGGAGACACGUAAGGUCUGCCCACUGACGGAAUAGUGGGUUGAAGUGCGUAGGCGAUGAUCUUUAUAGGCAAAUCCGUAGAGAGAGCUGAACCACGAUAGUACACAGAGGACUUCGGUCUGAUGUGAUAAUGAUCCCAAGUAUGCUUCCGAGAAAACCUUCUAAGCUACAGGUAUAUAGAGCUCGUACCGUAAACCGACACAGGUGGUUGGGGAGAGUAUCCUAAGGCGCUCGAGUGAUUCAUGGCUAAGGAACUAGGCAAAAUAGCCCCGUAACUUCGGGAGAAGGGGCGCUCAAUGUUAAUAUUGAGCCGCAGUGAAAAGGCCCAGGCGACUGUUUAGCAAAAACACAGGACUCUGCGAAAUCGAAAGAUGAAGUAUAGGGUCUGACACCUGCCCGGUGCCGGAAGGUUAAGGGAGGGGGUUAGCGCAAGCGAAGCUCUUGACUGAAGCCCCGGUAAACGGCGGCCGUAACUAUAACGGUCCUAAGGUAGCGAAAUUCCUUGUCGGGUAAGUUCCGACCUGCACGA